rnacentral:tRNA from 1 species
CGGGGUGUAACUCAGUGAUAGAGCUCUUGCCUAGCAUGUGAGAGACUCUGUGUUCAAUCCCCAGCACUAUAG